UACGUAGGGCGCAAGCGUUGUCCGGAAUUAUUGGGCGUAAAGCGCGUGUAGGCGGCCUUGCAAGUCGGGUGUGAAAGCCCUCAGCUCAACUGAGGAAGCGCGCCCGAAACUGCAGAGCUUGAGUACCGGAGAGGAUGGCGGAAUUCCCCAAGUAGAGGUGAAAUUCGUAGAUAUGGGGAGGAACACCGGUGGCGAAGGCGGCCAUCUGGACGGAUACUGACGCUGAGACGCGAAAGCGUGGGGAGCAAACAGG
rnacentral:rRNA from 1 species